AGGGCAAUAAUGUGGCCCUCAGCUGUUGGUUUAUUAGGUUUCCAUUCCCAUGAUCCACAUCUGCGUUAGGCAAAAAUAGUUUUACUUUUAAUACACUUGCGCUCCACCACUUUGCUGUCUUGCUGAGUAAAAAAUAGCUGUGAAAACCAUGCAGAUGAGUUUCCAAUGUUUGGGUGGACAGAAAAUUUAGAGGAUGCUGCGCCAGUCAACAUUUCUCCC
rnacentral:lncRNA from 1 species